rnacentral:rRNA from 1 species
GAUGAACGCUGGCGGCGUGCCUAAUACAUGCAAGUCGAGCGAACGGACGAGCAGCUUGCUUUUCUGAUGUUCUCGUCGGUCGGCUGACUAACACGUGGAUAACCUACCUAUAAGACUGGGAUAACUUCGGGAAACCGGAGCUAAUACCGGCUCAUCUUUUGAACCUCAUUGUUCAAAAGUGAAAGACGGUCUUGCUUUCACUUAUAGAUGGAUCCGCGCUGCAUUAGCUAGUUUGUAAGUUAACGGCUUACCAAUGCAACGAUGCAUAGCCGACCUGAGAGGGUGCUCGGCCACACUGGAACUGAGACACGGUCCAGACUCCUACGGGAGGCAGCAGUAGGGAAUCUUCCGCCAUGGGCGACAGCCUGACGGAGCAACGCCGCGUGAGUGAUGAAGGUCUUCGGAUCGUAAAACUCUGUUAUUAGGGAAGAACAUAUGUGUAAGUAACUGUGCAAAUCUUGACGGUACCUAAUCAGAAAGCCACGGCUACCUACGUG